rnacentral:rRNA from 1 species
AACGAACGCUGGCGGCAUGCCUAACACAUGCAAGUCGAACGAGACCUUCGGGUCUAGUGGCGCACGGGUGCGUAACGCGUGGGAACCUGCCCUUAGGUUCGGAAUAACUCCCCGAAAGGGGUGCUAAUACCGGAUAAUGUCUUCGGACCAAAGAUUUAUCGCCUUUGGAUGGGCCCGCGUUGGAUUAGCGGGUUGGUAGGGUAAAAGCCUACCAAGGCGACGAUCCAUAGCUGGUCUGAGAGGAUGAUCAGCCACACUGGGACUGAGACACGGCCCAGACUCCUACGGGAGGCAGCAGUGGGGAAUAUUGGACGAUGGGCGAAAGCCUGAUCCAGCAAUGCCGCGUGAGUGAUGAAGGCCUUAGGGUUGUAAAGCUCUUUUACCCGGGAUGAUAAUGACAGUACCGGGAGAAUAAGCACCGGCUAACUCCGUG